AAUGCUAAAAAAUAACAAAAUGCGGUAUGAUGUUUGCAAGUGCCUUAGCUUGCUAACACAUGGCUAACAUUAGCUUACU